CCCUGCGGAGUUCCGCCCCUCGCUCGGCUUCGCCCUUCCAAGUUCCGGAGCCUGAGCGUCUGGGCUCUACGGAGCACCGGGGGCUUCGGUGCUAGGAUGCUAGUCAUUUCCUUCCGGCGGGGGUCAAAUCCUCAGGAAUCUGAGCCGUCUCGUCCAUCCACCUGCCCCAAACGGGGCAGGUCUAGGAGACUCGGGGAACCGGCCACGCCGUCCCUCUCGGGUGCAGAAAGCCAACUUCCCCUGCCGGCGGGGAAGAUUCCCGGCUACCCACCCGACCGAGGCAUCUGAGGGCGGGAGCCGCGCCAAACAUGCGGGAUAGACCAGUGGAGCGCGCUUUCUUCUGACUGCCUGUCCUCCCCACCCGGACCCAGACUCGGCGCCGCACACUCCCCCGGGGGGGCGGAAGGGGGGCGGCGGGGGACGGCGCAGUCACGCGCGCACCACACUUGCGCUCACAAGCGCGCAAGCCUCUCGCUCUCCGCCUCGCACACCUGCGCUCCGCCCCCUGGUCCCGGGUUGGCGGCUGGCGACUGGCGGAGGCAUUUGGGAACCCAGGGCAGCUGCGGCGGCGCCCCCCACCCCCAUCUCCAUCCCCUUCCCACAGCCGGAGUUGUCCCGAGCCAGCCGCCGCUCGCAACCAGCCCGCAUCCCUCUUCAUCCUUCCCUCCCCCCGCCUGCCGCGGCACCGGUAUCUGCAGCCGGAGCCCGGAGCCGGUGAGGUGGCGAAGGGGGGAGGGGGAGGAAGCAAGGGAUGAGCGCCGGGAGGGCGUCGGGGGCCCUGAGCCGGACUAGGACGUCCCUGGAGCCGGAACCCGAGCCGGAGCCGGAGCCAGAACCAAACCACCGUGUCCUUGGGAGGGACGGAAGCGCAGGACAAGCUGGAAAGGGGAACGCUCUGGGCGUCGGGGAAGCAGGAUCAGGGUCGUGGAAGCGGGCUUGCGCAGCCGCCGUCUGGCACCCCUGCCCCGGACCAGCACCCCUGGCACGGACAGCUCCUUGGUUGGGUAGGGGGAGUGGGGCCGGACCUCAGAGGCUCGUCGGUUUGGGGUCCUGAGGACCGAAUUCCUAUCCCUCCCCCAGUCCCUAGCUGCAGCCCCCUAACCCCAGGAGGCGCCCUGGCCCGCGCUCGUCCCCCAGGGCCUCAUGUCGGAACCACAGCCUGACCUGGAGCCGCCCCAACAUGGGCUAUACAUGCUCUUCCUGCUUGUGCUGGUCUUCUUCCUCAUGGGCCUCGUAGGCUUCAUGAUCUGCCACGUGCUCAAGAAGAAGGGCUACCGCUGCCGCACGUCGAGGGGCUCGGAGCCUGACGAUGCCCAGCUCCAGCCCCCUGAGGACGAUGACAUGAAUGAAGACACAGUAGAGAGGAUUGUUCGCUGCAUCAUCCAAAAUGAAGCCAAUGCUGAGGCCUUGAAGGAGAUGCUGGGGGACAGUGAAGGAGAAGGGACAGUGCAGCUGUCCAGCGUGGAUGCUACCUCCAGCCUGCAAGAUGGAGCCCCUUCCCAUCAUCACACAGUGCAUCUGGGCUCUGCAGCCCCUUGCAUCCACUGCAGCCGCAACAAGAGGCCCCCACUUGUCCGUCAGGGACGCUCCAAGGAAGGAAAGAGCCGCCCUCGGCCUGGAGAGACUACCGUGUUCUCUGUAGGCAGGUUCCGGGUGACACACAUUGAGAAGCGCUAUGGGCUACAUGAGCAUCGUGAUGGCUCUCCCACGGACAGGAGCUGGGGGUCUGGUGGAGGGCAGGACACAGGGGGUAGUCAGGGGUCUGGGGGAGGGCAGCCCAGGGCAGGGAUAUCUGCCAUUGAGAGUGUGCCCCCUGAGAGGCCACAGCCCCCAGCCCUCGCCAGUCCCCCAGUGCAGAACGGAGGACUCAGAGAUGGCAGCCUAGUCCCUUGUGCACUUGAGGGGAACCCUAGAGCCUCUCCAGAGCCACUGCAAGGGGCAGGAGGGAAGGGCCCAAGCCCAAGACUGGCCAGUCAAGAGGCAAUUGGACAGCCAAGCAAACUGGACACCUCAGAUCACCAGGUGUCCCCACCACGGGGAGCAGGGGGUGUGUGAGAUCAUUGAGAGGGUGGUCUCUGACAUCAUGGGACAGCAGCAUCACUGGGGGAUGGCAGUCCCCCUGGCUUCAGCCCUGCAGACAAAGCAGGACAAGUAGAAUGACACAGUCUCCUCCAAGGGGGGACCCUUACCGGCCUGAGUCGAGGUGCCAUCAUGUCCAGGGGUGCAGGGCAGCCCAGGUCUUGGUCUGCAAACAAGAACCACAAGUCAUUCUUCAGGCUUUGUUUUGUUCAUUGCUGCAUCUCCAGCACUUAGGAGAGUGGAACUCUGUAAAUAUUUGAUGAAUUAACAAAUAGUCACUAAUCUCAGAGCCAUAAAAUCCAUCAAUCCAUCCAUCCUCUGCACUUAUUUGGCACCUGCUGAGAGGGGGAGAUGAGAUUCACAGCACCCCCAUUCCCUAUGGCUGUCAGGAACCCAAUAGUGAAAAGCCAACAAACAGUGAAUGACUGAGUGCUAAAUCAUUCAAAGUGAACGAUAGGUACUGGAGAAGGGGGUGCAGAAGAUGUUCAGAGGGACCUUGGGAAUCAGGGAGGCUCCAUGAAGAAAGUGAAAGUACCAGAAGGUUUUAGAAAAAGUGGACAUUCCAAGAAGGAAAAUGACACAAACCAAGGUGUUUGCAGUAUUCAAGAACAUUAAAGGCAGAAGAUACAUAGUGGGAAAAUAAUGGGAAAUGCUGCCUAAUUUGUAAACUAAUCAUCAUGAGAAAAUGGCUACUAUAGCCAUGGUACUACUAUGUGCCAGGCACAGUGCUAGGCCCAUCUUUCUAGCACAUAACAACUCAGGUGAGGUAGGGACCUUUCACCUUACUCUGUAAAGGCCCAGGCAGGUUAAACAUCCCACCCCAACCCACACAUUGGGAAGUCACAGGCAAAGUCUCAACAAUGCACUUGCCUCCCCUCCAAAGCCCAAGCUCUUCUCACCAUCAUGCUUCUGUGAGCCUGAUGGAGGAGGUUCCUGA